rnacentral:lncRNA from 1 species
AAGAAGACAGAGAAUUGGGUUUUUUUUCUUCAUAGGAUUUUGGGAAGACUGAGGCAAUCGUUGCUGAAGUCAGUGUUGUAAUGGUGAAUUGGGAUUUUUAAUGAAGUGGAUUUGAUUACUCUUAACUAUUUUGUGAAAUCGAGUUACGUCUGUGAUGAAGAAUUAAAAGGAUGUCUAUAGGAUUGAGUAUGCAGAGUGAAUGAAAUUUAUUGGGUUAAUC